rnacentral:rRNA from 1 species
ACUCAAAUGAAUAGACGGGGGCCCGCACAAGCGGUGGAGCAUGUUGUUUAAUACGUCACUAACCGUAGAACCUUACCAGGGCUUGACAUCUGCGGACAGCUCGUGAAAGCGGGUCUCUCUCGCAAGAGAGCCGCAAGACAGGUGUUGCAUGGCUGUCGUCAGCUCGUGUCGUGAGAUGUUGGGUUAAGUCCCGCAACGAGCGCAACCCUCACCCCAUGUUGCCAGCGAGUGAAGUCGGGAACUCUUGGGGAACUGCCCGGGUAACCGGGAGGAAGGUGGGGAUGACGUCAAGUCAGCAUGGCCCUUACGCCCUGGGCUACAAACAUGCUACAAUGGACGGUAGACAAAGGGACCCGAAGCCGCGAGGUGGAGGCAAUCUCAAAAAUCCGUUCCCAGUUCAGAUCGCAGGCUGCAACUCGCCUGCGUGAAGUCGGAAUCGCUAGUAACCGCCGAUCAGCGAAGCGGCGGUGAAUACGUUCCCGGGCCUUGUACACACCGCCCGU